AACGAACGCUGGCGGCAGGCUUAACACAUGCAAGUCGAACGCCCCGCAAGGGGAGUGGCAGACGGGUGAGUAACGCGUGGGAAUCUACCCAGUUCUACGGAACAACACAGGGGAACUUGUGCUAAUACCGUAUACGCCCCAAGGGGGAAAGAUUUAUCGGAAUUGGAUGAGCCCGCGUUGGAUUAGCUAGUUGGUGAGGUAAUGGCUCACCAAGGCGACGAUCCAUAGCUGGUCUGAGAGGAUGAUCAGCCACACUGGGACUGAGACACGGCCCAGACUCCUACGGGAGGCAGCAGUGGGGAAUAUUGGACAAUGGGCGCAAGCCUGAUCCAGCCAUGCCGCGUGAGUGAUGAAGGCCUUAGGGUUGUAAAGCUCUUUCAGUGGGGAAGAUAAUGACGGUACCCACAGAAGAAGCCCCGGCUAACUUCGUG
rnacentral:rRNA from 1 species